CGAGCAGCAUGCCUAUCAGUGAGAAGGUGCCUGACAAUUCUCAGUUGAAAUGUCCUGACCAAGUUCCCCCAGAAAUUUAUGACUAAUAACAAAAGGGAAAAGCUACCCUCACAAGGAGAUGUCCAGUUGACACUACCUCAACCAAAAUCAUUAAACAUAGCAUCAGCAAUCGCGGGACAAACAGACGCAAACAUCUCCUGGUGUGAGGCGACUGAAUGCAGCGGUGUGAUCUCAGCUCACUGCAAUCUUCACCUCCCAGAUUCAAGCCAUCCUCCCACCUCAGC